rnacentral:rRNA from 1 species
UGAGGAAUAUUGGUCAAUGGACGAGAGUCUGAACCAGCCAAGUAGCGUGAAGGAUGAAGGUUCUAUGGAUUGUAAACUUCUUUUAUACGGGAAUAAACGAAUCCACGCGUGGAUUUUUGCAUGUACCGUAUGAAUAAGGAUCGGCUAACUCCGUGCCAGCAGCCGCGGUAAUACGGAGGAUCCGAGCGUUAUCCGGAUUUAUUGGGUUUAAAGGGAGCGUAGAUGGGUUGUUAAGUCAGUUGUGAAAGUUUGCGGCUCAACCGUAAAAUUGCAAUUGAUACUGGCAGUCUUGAGUACAGUUGAGGUAGGCGGAAUUCGUGGUGUAGCGGUGAAAUGCUUAGAUAUCACGAAGAACUCCGAUUGCGAAGGCAGCUUACUAACCUGUAACUGACAUUGAUGCUCGAAAGUGUGGGUAUCAAACAGGAUUAGAUACCCUGGUAGUCCACACGGUAAACGAUGAAUACUCGCUGUAGGCGAUAUACGGUCUGCGGCCAAGCGAAAGCAUUAAGUAUUCCACCUGGGGAGUACGCCGGCAACGGUGAAACUCAAAGGAAUUGACGGGGGCCCACACAAGCGGAGGAACAUGUGGUUUAAUUCGAUGAUACGCGAGGAACCUUACCCGGGCUUAAAUUGCAACCGAAUAUGGCGGAAACGCCAUAGCUAGCAAUAGCGGUUGUGAAGGUGCUGCAUGGUUGUCGUCAGCUCGUGCCGUGAGGUGUCGGCUUAAGUGCCAUAACGAGCGCAACCCUUGCCGAUAGUUACUAACAGGUUAUGCUGAGGACUCUGUCGGGACUGCCAUCGUAAGAUGUGAGGAAGGUGGGGAUGACGUCAAAUCAGCACGGCCCUUACGUCCGGGGCUACACACGUGUUACAAUGGGGGGUACAGAGGGCUGCUACCACGCAAGUGGAUGCCAAUCCCAAAAACCUCUCUCAGUUCGGAUUGAAGUCUGCAACCCGACUUCAUGAAGCUGGAUUCGCUAGUAAUCGCGCAUCAGCCACGGCGCGGUGAAUACGUUCCC